CAGGUCGUGUGCGUCUGGCGUGGGACAGUCGUGCCCGAGGAGACGGCGCGUGACUUUGUUUCUCUUCCCUCUCCGGUGGACUGCAUAACCUUCGCAUUUACUGCUGUGGUCGCAGCUCGGAGAUGUAAUUCGAAGCGCUGUUGCUUGAAAACGCUCAGCAAUGUGAAUGUUGCGGAUCACGGAAGAUUUUAAAACGAACUUAACGGUUCUGGAUCUGUGGCUAUCAUCUUUUGUGUGUCAGUUUCUACCGUGAUAUGUACGUGUGAAAUUGAUUGUGUGUCUCACUUAGGAAGGACAGAGUUCACUUACUGUUACUACAGCUUUCUUGCGCACAGUCGCAUGUUAGUUUGAUAAGUAAACUGCAGUGUGUAGAAAGGUACGGUGGUAUGUGCUGGACCUUCUGCGACGUCAGUGUAUGUGCAUAACCUCCAGGGUGACGUCUUGUGACAUCUCCGACGUACCGAGGAUGCAUAUGGUACAGCAGGCGUGUAACAGUUGUAGUGGACGCAAAGUGGAACUUCCUCUACGAGGUUGGUAGAAACAGAAUUACGUACAUAAGGAACUGCCUGGACUCUCAACAGCGUAGCAGCUUCUCGGCGUGAAGGGCGGAGCACAGCUUACCGGAGACAGGCGGAGCACGAGAGGAGUACACCGCUGCUGCCGACACGCCCAUGGAAGCGCACCUGCGGCUCCACUGAAACGUAAGUGUGCUGGUUUCUCUCGUACGCCUGCCACGCUUGAUGAAUGCUGUACAGAUCGCAACGGACAGAAGCGUCGCAGCCAGCGUGAGGCUACCGGACUGGGUGCGGGGCGAUGCUGAUUGAACCGGAGGGGCGCCCAGCAGUGAGAGACGAGAGCGCGGUCCCCGGCAGCGGCGACAGGCCGACGGCGCCAGCGAC